UGUUAAAAAUUUUAUCUAUUUCUACUAUUAAAAACUGGUUUAUGCAUAUCAACAUGAGAUAUAUGUGAUAUGUCAUGUGUCAUUUCUGGUUAUUUAGUCAACCACACCAGUUUUUAACAGUAUGAAUUGAUGAAAUUUUAAUUA
rfam:Gossypium hirsutum cultivar TM-1 chromosome 16, whole genome shotgun sequence